rnacentral:rRNA from 1 species
CCUACGGGUGGCAGCAGUGGGGAAUAUUGGUCAAUGGGCGCGACUCUGAACCAGCCACGUCGCGUGAAUGAUGACUGUCUUCGGAUUGUCAAGUUCUUUUCUUAGGGGAGUAAAGUGUGACUGUGCUUUCUGAAUGAGUCUCGUCUAACUACGUGCCAGCAGCCGCUGUAAUACGGAGGAGGCAAUCGUUCUCCGGAAGGACUGUGCGUAAAGGGAGCGUAGGUGGUGUGACAAGUUAGUAGUGCAACUUCGGAGCUCAAAUGCGAAACUACUACUCACACGGGUGGACUUGAGGACAGGAGGGGCAGGCGGAAUUCGUAGUGUAGCGGUGGAAUGCGUAGAUAUUAGGAAGAACACCAGUGGCGAAGGCGG